AUGGAUUGGAACCCGCAGGUGAUAUGUUGGAAUGUGAGGGGGCUCAACAACAUGUCCAAGAGGAACGCGGUGAGGGAAUUCAUUCGUGAUGCUAAGGUGCAUUUGGUUUGUCUUCAAGAGACAAAACUUGAUGUAAUCGACACUUAUGUGGUAAUGCAUUGCAUAGGGCCAUCCUUCGAUGGUUUUGCCUCCCUGCCGGCUACGGAUACUAGGGGUGGAAUUCUCGUGGGUUGGGAUAGAUCUAUCUUGGAGAUUAAUAAUAUUAGUAUGGAUAGCUACUCUCUCACGGGUCAUGUGCAAAACAAGGAUGGUUGGGAAUGGUGGCUUACGGUGGUCUACGGACCUCAAGGUGAUGAGCUCAAGACUCAAUUCCUGAUGGAGCUUUAG
rnacentral:rRNA from 1 species